ACAACGAAGAGUUUGAUCCUGACUCAGGAUGAACGCUAGCGACAGGCCUAACACAUGCAAGUCGAGCGGCAGCACCUCGGGUGGCGAGCGGCGCACUGGUGAGUAACGAGUAUGUAACCUGCCCUUAAGUGGGGGAUAGCCCGGUGAAAACCGGAUUAAUACCGCAUAAUACUGGUCUAAAACAUUUUGGACGAGUUAAAGAUGUAUUGCUUAAGGAUGGACAUGCGUCCGAUUAGCUGGUUGGCGGGGCAACGGCCCACCAAGGCGAC
rnacentral:rRNA from 1 species